CCAUCGGUUUCCCAUUCUCCUUUGCCCCGUCUAUCUACCUCGCUAUCGAUAGCAUCUCCGAUGUCUCGAUCUGCCUUAACGCCACUUUGCCCCUCUACCAUUAAUGAAUCUGCACCUGUUCGGAUCAGAUUACUUAUUGACUUCUAUCGCAAUCCUUUAUCAGCACUAUCCUCCCUUCCUACACCUUCUCCAACAAUUGGUUACCAGCUAGACACACCCUCCUCUGACCAUCCCAUGGUGCUUCGACCCCGUCCAAAGUGGCCAUCCACCUUCACCACCAUUAUCCUCACAAAAGAAUCUCCUUGUUUUACGUAGGCAUCUAAACACUCUGAGUGGCAUGCUACAAUAACUGACGAAUUUAAUGCUCUUAUUCGCAACGGUACAC
rnacentral:lncRNA from 1 species